rnacentral:misc_RNA from 1 species
UACGGAGGGGGCUAGCGUUGUUCGGAAUUACUGGGCGUAAAGGGCGCGUAGGCGGAUAUUCAAGUCGGGGGCGAAAUCCCGGGGCUCAACCCCGGAACUGCCUCCGAUACUGGAUGUCUUGAGGAUGGAAGAGGCGAGUGGAAUGCCGAGUGUAGAGGUGAAAUUCGUAGAUAUUUGGCGGAACACCAGUGGCGAAGGCGGCUCGCUGGUCCAUUUCUGACGCUGAGGCGCGAAAGCGUGGGGAGCAAACAGA